AUGCUCACACAUUUAACUUCGGUCUCGAUGAUCCUCGGAAAUGGUGUCCCUGAUGUCCCAGCCCCUCCACCACCCCGUGCACUGGCCCUCGACUUGAGGCCUGUGCUAGAUCCUAGGGAUUUCCAGAAUAAAUGGAGCCAACUAGCAUUAUCUUUUUCUCAGGAAUGCUCUUUAACUCCACAAGGGGCAGCUUCUUUGAUGAAUCACCAAUCGCUCAUUCGUCAUAUGCAAAACAACUACAUUCAAUGCGUUGCUUCAGGCGGCCAGCCUCCAAACCACAAGUUCUUCUUUUAUGGUCAGAAAGCUGGGGCUGCUGCUUUCUACUCCCUCCGUUCGGAAUUACUUGUCACAAAAAUGGAUGUAUCUACAACUAAAAUACAUCUAGAUACAUUCAUUUCUCGAACGAGUAAUUCCGAACGGAGGGAGUACCUUGUAGAAUGCAUUGUGAACCCAGCAUCAUCCAAGGCCCAGCUCAAAAUUAAGGCCGACGAUGGGGCUACUGCUGAGGCCUUUUCUACUUUGUUUCAAUCAGUAUUGUCUGAAUUUGGGCUUUCUUGA
rnacentral:rRNA from 1 species